rnacentral:rRNA from 1 species
UAGGGAAUCUUCCGCAAGGGACGCAAGUCUGACGGAGCAACGCCGCGUGAGUGAAGAAGGAUUUCGGUUCGUAAAACUCUGUUGUUAGAGAAGAACAGCGCAUAGAGUAACUGUUAUGCGUGUGACGGUAUCUAACCAGAAAGCCACGGCUAACUACGUGCCAGCAGCCGCGGUAAUACGUAGGUGGCAAGCGUUGUCCGGAUUUAUUGGGCGUAAAGCGAGCGCAGGCGGUCAAUUAAGUCUGAUGUGAAAGCCCCCGGCUCAACCGGGGGGGGUCAUUGGAAACUGGUUGACUUGAGUGCAGAAGAGGAGAGUGGAAUUCCAUGUGUAGCGGUGAAAUGCGUAGAUAUAUGGAGGAACACCAGUGGCGAAGGCGACUCUCUGGUCUGUAACUGACGCUGAGGCUCGAAAGCGUGGGUAGCAAACAGG